AGCAAAUCAUGUUGACGAUACUCGACUGUUGCUUCAUAAUUGCAUUUUUCCUGUCUAAUUUAUCUAUGGGGAAUUGCGACGACCAGGGACAUGGCAGGGCAACAUAUAAGGAAUAUACUACAAGCGCUAUCAGCUCUGCUUGAACAAGAUGGCAAAGAUCGUGAUGAUGCUGGGAAGACUGUCGAAUAUGCCAAACUUGCCAAAGAUUUGGCUGCAAUUUUUAGGGAAGUUCAAGAUGCUAAGAGGCUUGAAGUUGAACAGUAAGCAUUUUAUGUUCCUGUUGCUCCCCAACGAGCAAGUCUUUUAACUUCGAGGUCAAAGACCAUUGAAGUAGGCAUAAAUGCAGACCAGAACUCCGAUCCACACAUCUUCUUCAGCAAUUAAAAGGAAUGGAGGCUUUGCCCUUGGAAAGCGAGAACUCCCUCAGAGAGAUACUUAGAGACGGAGGGGAAAAUGAGGAAGAAGUUCGUCGAAUCCAAGAAGAAAUUAACUCUUCAUUGACGUCAUAAAUUACUUAUAAAAGAACAACUUUGUGGUACAGACGACAUUGAGAGUGCCCUGCAGUUUUCAACCGUUCAUGGAACGUAGGACCACAAGAAUCUCAACAUUAUUUUCUUGUACUUGAAGCUUCCACCUAUAGUAAUAUCCAAAAGGUCUUGUUGUUUUCCUUAAUAGCAUUUGAAGGAAAGUAUAGAAGUUCAGUGAGUAAAUGAAAUUCUGUUCCCAUGUUCUUUCAGGAUUGCU